CAACGGUUUGUUUGUAACUGCAAAACAAAUUAAGGUUGGCGAGAGUGAAGGGAAAUUAUUGGGUGCAGCCGAGAACGAUGCCGAAAUGGUGGAAGGUAGCAGUAGUAGUGGGGAUCGUUGGAAUAUUCAGGGAAUUGAGCAAGCAAUUGGGAUGGGAUAAAGACGCUGCUCUCCAGGUGUUUGCUCUAUGGUCCGAUCGGUUGGGGAUGUGGGCGAUGCCUGUUUAUGUUGGGAUUCACACGCUUACUCUCGCGCUCUGCUUGCCCUACGCUGUUUUCUUCGAGGCUGGCGCUUCUUUACUUUUCGGAUUCUUACCUGCUGUCCUCUGCGUCUUUUCCGCCAAGGUCUUAGGGGCUUCCCUCUCCUUCUGGAUCGGCAGGUUAGUUUUCAAGAGUUCAAGUUCAGCCAUGGAAUGGGCACAGAGAAACAGAUAUUUCCAUCUCCUUUCUAGAGGAGUUGAACGAGAUGGUUGGAGAUUUGUACUGCUUGCACGCUUCUCUCCCAUGCCCUCUUAUGUAAUCAACUAUGCCCUAGCUGCGACAAAAGUUGGGUUCCUAGUGGAUUUCCUGCUCCCUACAGUCAUUGGUUGUCUGCCCAUGAUCUUACAGAACACAUCCAUAGGCAGCCUUGCUGGUGCUGCUGUUGCUUCAACAUCUGGGUCUCAGAAAUCUAAGGUGUGGUCUUACCUAUUUCCCAUACUUGGUAUUGUAUCCAGCAUCCUUAUUUCCUUGAGAAUAAAAAAGUACUCCACUGAUGUCACAAUGGUUGCAUCCUCUCCUAGCAAUCAUGCUGGUGACUGUAAUGAUGUUGAUUCAUCUCCUACCCUUUC
rnacentral:misc_RNA from 1 species